UACGUAGGUGGCGAGCGUUGUCCGGAUUUAUUGGGCGUAAAGCGCGCGCAGGCGGGCUGGUUAGUCCGGGGUGAAAUCUCACGGCUCAACCGUGAGCGGUCCCCGGAUACUGCCAGUCUUGAGGGAUCUAGAGGAGAGCGGAAUUCCCGGUGUAGUGGUGGAAUGCGUAGAUAUCGGGAAGAACACCAGUGGCGAAAGCGGCUCUCUGGGGAUCACCUGACGCUGAGGCGCGAAAGCGUGGGGAGCGAACCGGAUUAGAUACCCGGGUAGUCCACGCUGUAAACGAUGAGCACUAGCUGUCGGGGGUAUCGACCCCUCCGGUAGCGCAGCUAACGCGAUAAGUGCUCCGCCUGGGGACUACGGCCGCAAGGCUAAA
rnacentral:rRNA from 1 species